UCCGUUACCGGGGCAACCGCGGCGCCUCCUCCGGGCCGGCCCGGCCCGUCUCUCGGCGCCAUUUUCAAACUCGGCUGACGCGGCAGCGGGGACGAGGCCCGCGGGCGAUGCGGCGGCGGCGGCGGCCGCGGGGAGCGGCGGCCGGGGCUGCCGGGCUUUGAUUUUGGCAGUGAGAAGGACUGAGUGGACGGCAGGAUGACCACAGCAGCAGAGAGGAAGUACAUCAACAUUAGGAAGAGAUUGGAUCAGUUGGGCUACCGCCAGACUCUGACGGUAGAAUGUUUACCCUUGGUGGAAAAGCUUUUCAGUGACUUAGUUCAUACAACAGAAAGUCUUCGGCAAUCAAAAUUAUCUACUGUGAAAGCUGAAAAAGAAAGUGCCAAUUUUGAUUUUGUUUUGGAACCUUAUAAACUAGAAAAUGCAAGAUUGAGUAGGGAAAAUAAUGAAUUAUACCUAGAGUUAAUGAAACUAAGAGAACACUCAGAUCAACACAUAAAAGACCUGAAAACUGCUUUGAAGAAAUGUGCACGUGAAACAGCUGACCUGAAAUUUCUAAAUAACCAGUAUGUUCAUAAACUCAGGCUUUUGGAGAAAGAGGGCAAAGCUAAAAAUGAAAAAAUCCAACAACUUCAAGAAAAGAAUUUGCAUGCUGUUGUACAAACUCCAGGGGGCAAGAAGAGAAGUAUUGCUUUCAGGCGGCAGCGAAUGCAGAUUGACGAGCCAGUCCCUCCAUCUGAAGUCAGUUCAUACCCAGUUCCUCAGCCGGAGGACCCUUACAUUGCAGACCUCCUGCAGGUGGCUGAUAACAGGAUUCAAGAACUUCAACAGGAAGUCCAGCAGUUACAAGAAAAGUUAGCAGUGAUGGAGAGUGGAGUGAGAGACUAUAGCAAGCAGAUUGAGCUAAGAGAACGAGAGAUAGAACGAUUGUCAAUGGCUUUGGACGGGGGUCGUUCCCCUGAUGUCCUGACGCUGGAGAACAGAAAUAAAACCAAUGAAAAGCUCAUCGCUCAUUUAAAUAUCCAGGUUGACUUUCUUCAGCAAGCUAAUAAGGACCUGGAGAAGCACAUCCGAGAGCUUAUGGAAACCAAGGAAACAGUGACAACUGAGGUUGUUAACUUAAGUAACAAGAAUGAGAAACUCUGCCGAGAGCUAACUGAAAUAGACCAGUUAGCACAGCAGUUGGAGCGACAUAAAGAAGAAGUGCUUGAGACCGCUGAUAAAGAACUCGGCGAAGCAAAGGUCACUGUGCUCAUUCUAGUUGAGAGGCUUUCCCAGAGCACUCCUGUACAUAGCAUAGAUCUCCAAAUCGUCCCUGUUUUCCUCUGCCCUUUAUCUCUGCAUUGUGAGACUUUGAGAGAGAUUCAAAGAAAUCUCUCUGAAAUGCGGACUCUUGAAGAAACAAUGGCAAAACUUCAACUGGAAUUAAACUUAUGCCAUAAAGAAAAGGAGAGACUGAGUGAUGAACUGCUUCUUAAGUCAGACCUGGAAACUGUCAUCCACCAACUUGAACAAGAGAAACAGAGACUCAGCAAAAAAGUUGAGAGUUUUGCAGUUACAGAAAGAGAACUUACUUUGGAAGUUGAGAGAAUGAGGCUAGAACAUGGAAUAAAACGCAGAGACAGAUCACCUUCUCGUUUAGAUACAUUUCUCAAAGGUAUAGAAGAAGAACGAGAUUAUUAUAAGAAAGAACUAGAAAGACUCCAGCAUUUAAUACAGCGAAGAUCUUGUUCUACAAAUUACUGUGCUCGUGAAAAAAUCCCAAUAUUUAAAACACAAGAAAAAGGUGAUUACAAUUCAGAAAUUCAUCUGGUCACAAGAGAAAGAGAUGAACUUCAGCGUAUGCUGGAAAGAUUUGAAAAAUAUAUGGAGGAUAUACAGUCCAAUGUUAAAUUAUUGACGGCGGAAAGAGAUAAACUCAGUGUCUUAUAUAAUGAAGCUCAGGAAGAAUUGUCUGCGCUUAGACGAGACUCCACCCAAACCACAGUCUCCAACAAUAUUGUUAGUCUAAUGGAAAAGGAAAAAGAACUUGCGUUAUCUGACCUAAGAAGAGUUAUGGCAGAAAAGGAGACUUUGAGAGAAAAAUUAAAUAAUAUCCAGGAAAUGAAUCUUUUUGGAAAAUCAGAAUUAGAGAAAACUAUUGAUCAUUUGACACGUGUUAAUCAUCAGCUUGAAGAUGAAAAAUAUGAAUUAAAAUCUGAAGUGUUACUAAUGAAAGAAAAAAUAGACUCAUUAGAGAACAAAUCAAAACUCCAAGCCCAAAAGCUUUGCCAUGUGGCCGGUGACUCAUCUCAUCAGAAGUCAGAGAUGAACUCACUUAGGAUAGUAAAUGAGCAGCUAGAGCGGUCACUUGAUGACUAUCAGCACCGACUCUCCGUGAAAAGAGGUGAACUUGAUUCAGCCCAAGCACAAAUUAAAAUACUGGAGGAGCAAAUAGAUAAAUUAAACCUUAAGAUGACUUCACAGGAUGAGGAGGUCCAUGUAAUGAAAAAGACCAUUGGUGUCAUUGAUAAAGAAAAGGACUUUCUUCAGGAGACUGUAGACGAGAAGACAGAAAAGAUUGCAAACUUGCAAGAAAACCUCGCUAGUAAAGAAAAAACUAUUGCUCAGAUGAAGAUAACUGUCUCAGAGUUUGAUAAAUCUAUGAACCAGCUAAAGGAAACCCUGAGUAAUCGAGACCGGGAGGUGAGCAGCCUCCGGCGCCAGCUGGAUGCGGCUCACAAGGAACUCGAUGAAGUUGGAAGAUCUAGAGACAUGGCUUUUAAGGAGAACAGAAGAUUACAAGAUGAUCUGGCUACAAUGGCAAGAGAAAACCAGGAAAUCUCACUGGAAUUAGAAGCAUCAGUACAAGAAAAAGAAGAAAUGAAAAGUCGAGUUCAUAGUUACAUAACUGAAGUAUCACGAUGGGAGACCUUAAUGGCUUCUAAGGAAAAGGAAAAUCAAGAUUUGUUAGACAAAUUCCAGAUGCUUCACAACCGUGCUGAAGACUGGGAAGUCAAAGCCCACCAGGCUGAGGGGGUGAGCAGUUCAGUCCGGCUGGAGCUUCUUUCUAUUGACACAGAGAGGAGACACCUUCGAGAAAGAGUGGAACUUCUAGAAAAAGAAAUCCAGGAGCACAUAAAUGCACAUCACGCAUAUGAAUCCCAAAUCUCAUCCAUGGCAAAGGCCAUGUCUAGAUUAGAAGAAGAACUGAGACUUCGGGAAAACGAGAAAGCAGCAGCGUUGAGUGAUUUGUCGUCUCUGAGAGAGCUUUGCAUUAAGUUAGAUUCAGGCAAAGAUGUUACGACCCAACAAUUGAAUUCCAAAAACCUUGAGUUUGAGAGGGCUGUGGCAGAAUUAGAAAAUGUAAAAUCAGAGUCUGAGAUGUUAAAAAAACAGCUGUUAAAUGAAAGACACACAAUUAAAAACCUUGAAGCAUUGUUGGCUUCGAACAGAGAUAAGGAAUUUCACUCUCAUUUAACCUGUCACGAGAAGGAUACCGAGAUUCAGCUUCUCAAAGAGAAGUUGACCCUUUCGGAGAGCAAAUUAACUAGUCAAAGCCGAGAGAACACCAUGCUUCGAGCUAAGGUGGCAGAAUUGCAGACAGAUCACGACGCUCUGAAGAGGCAGAUUGCAGCGGAAAAAUACGAACGAGUGGACAGUGAGAGAGAGAGACAGAGAGAAAGGUCUUCCUUUGCCGUUGGUUCACCCUCCAAUGGCCGCCGCGGCCGGCGCGCUGCAGCCGGCGCACUGCACUGAUCCGAUGAGAACGAGCGAUCCAAGAGAUGCGUCGACACGGGCUUCCUACUCCACCCCUUAGUUCUACUCUGAGGUCUCCUUCACCGACUCCUGAACAGAUCAGUGUAUAAUUGUCAGAAAGAAUAAUGGCCUUCCGUGAGUUUCUGUAUGGAUUAUAAAGAAUAGUAGUGAAGCAUUUGAAGUACUUGUUCCUGAAAAUCAUGAACAUGGACCAAAUUCUACCUCUGCCAACUUGUAUUUAAAUCAGUGAAUAUUUAUGUAAAAAAGUUUGCUUUAAAAAACUGUAUAUUUUCAUAUAUGGGACAGAACAAAAUAUAUACUAAUAGUGCUUAACUGGUUUUUUAUUAUUUCCUCACUUAAUUUACUCCCAAAAUGUGUUUAUACUGUGCGUUAAUAUAAUGUAUUAUUCACGUCAUACUUUAAUAAUCUGUUUCUUAAUGAGCCAUGGUAUAUGUAUGUUGAAAUUCUUAUAUUGCAUGUUUUCAAUGUGUUGUUUUUUCCCUGUUUAUAACCCAUAUCCUAAUUAGUCACAGAGAAUUCUCAGUGUUGAUGCUAUGCUGGUAUGUUUAUAUCAGAAUCAAGCUAAAAGCUGUACUCAAAGUUUUAUAAAACUGUCGAACGAAAAUUUGGGGCAUUUUUCAGAAAUGAAAUUUCUUAGUGUAUUAAUCUAAAAUUUCAGAGAAUGAAAGGAUAUAGGUAAAUAAAGAUUAUUGUUGACAUUCCAAAAUACAUCCAAUAAUACCAGUUUUUGCUCUGAACUGCGUAUUCUGAUUUGCUAGUCUUUUCGAACAGCAUGUGAACGCUGAGCUGUGGCAUAUAAAUUGAAAACAGCUUUUUACAGCUAAUUCUCAAAGUUUCAACAUUUAAAAUUUAGGUUUAUACAUAUAUUAACCAAAGAACAGAAGUAUAAAAGAGUGUCAGUUACAAAAAGUAAUCGUGUUUUAUCCAUAUAUGUGAAGAAAAUCCUGUUCAUUCUGGAUUUCAUCAUGACUCAGAAGGAGCUCAGAAGCUAGCCUGGGGACGCGCUAAGCCAGUUACGACGCAUUUUGCCCUCGUGUUUGGUAAAGCGGAGCUGGCGUGUGCGGCGUGCAGCGAGGCGGCAGUGUGCUUUCUGUGACGCGAGCGAGCGUGUCGGCUGUGCGGGCGUGCCCCCAGAGCAGCUCGGUGUGCCUGGGCUGGGGCUGCCCUGCCGCCGUCCGUGGCACGUCUGUCCCCGUCGCCCUUGGGUGAGCUCCGUUAUGGCAUUAGAGGAGAGGAGUGAGACUGUUGGCAGGGGCACGUGGAAACCACUUUGAUAAAUAUAUGUAAAUAAAUAUCUGUCCCUAUUUUCCCCCAAAGCAACAGCAAGACAUAUUUUGUUAGAUAUUUUAUAAUGUUUUCUAUAAUUUAAAAAUGUAUAGCUUGCCAUAAUUGUUAUUUUCAUAACUAUGAUGCUACAAUUUUUUUAAAAAUUAGUUUUGUCCUAAAAUUUUGAAUGUUUUGAUCUUUUACAGAUGUUUUUAACUUUGUUUUAAAUAAUUUUAAAUUAUGGAACUUGAUAUACAUUUGCUAAUAAACUUUGCAGUCAGUAU